GUGUGUGUGUGUGUGUGUGUAGUGUAUGCAGAGUGUGUAUGUGGAUUUGUAGGGUACACUCUGCAUACACUACACACACAUGUUA